CUUUUAUCAAGUCAUUUCACCUUUUUAGGUCAUUUUUAACAAAUAUAAAAUGAGAGAGAAUAAGACUGACCAGGUAGGAAAGAUGUAAGGGUAAGAAAUGAUGCUUAGACUAGUUGCUAGGUUAAAGAAGGUACUCACUCAGAAAAGAGAAAUGAUUAGAAAAUAGGAAGCCUAGUGCCAAGUUCUGUAUUUACCAUCUAACUAGCCAUGUGACCAUGUCUGACUUAAUAUUAACAUCUGAUUCCAAAGAAAAUGGGUAUACUACUAACAGUUAAUCCAUCUAACUUCAGCAGCAUUACAUGGAAUGAUUCAAGAAUUAAUAGCUGUAAAAUCACCAAGUCCAAUGUAAGAUGGUAUUUUUGCUGGAGGCUGGGUAUCAUGAAGACCAAGUGGUGGUGUGAGAUAUAUAUCCAAGUGGCUUAUAACCUGACAAAGCCAGCAGCUGCUCAGAUGGUGAAUAAGGGAUCUUUAUCUACGCUAAGCUUUCAGUAGAAGAAGAUAUGGUCAUUGCUCCUUAUCAUCACUGAGAAAAAUGAGAUGAAUAUAGAUCUUUCAGAUGCACAGGAUUGCUGAUCAUUCCAAACAUGAUGACCAAGGAAGCCAUUAUAUCUAUUUCUUUAAAAACAACAACAACUCAGAAUCCUAAGAAACAAUUGUGAAGUUUUAAACAUAAUUUUCUUUGGGGGCAGAGGCAAAAAUGGAUGACUUUCUAUUCUGUAUGUAUAAGCAUAUAUUUAUAUGGUUCAGAAAUCAGUAUGAUAUAAAAAGAAAUUUUCCUU